ACGGGAGGCAGCAGUGGGGAAUAUUGCGCACUGGGGGAAACCCUGACGCAGCGACGCCGCGUGAGUGAUGAAGUAUUUCGGUAUGUAAAGCUCUUUAAGCAGGGAAGAUAAUGACGGUACCUGCAGAAUAAGCACUGGCUGAAUACGUGCCAGCAGCCGCGGUAAUACGUAUGGUGCAAGCGUUAUCCGGAUUUACUGGGUGUAAAGGGAGUGUAGGUGGUCUGGCAAGCCAGAAGUGAAAACCCGGGGCUCAACUCCGCGGAUUGCUUUUGGAACUGUUGGACUGGAGUGCAGGAGGGGUAAGCGGAAUUCCCAGUGUAGCGGUGAAAUGCGUAGAUAUUGGGAGGAACACCAGCGGCGAAGGCGGCUUACUGGACUGUAACUGACACUGAGGCACGAAAGCGUGGGGAGCAAACAGGAUUAGAUACCCUGGUA
rnacentral:rRNA from 1 species